UCCACCAGAAUGCACAGUAAUGGUAAAUGUCAUGCUCUGUACAUAUCUUUGUCACAGUUCUUUAAGCAAAUUUUACUGAUUGUGUUGAGAUUAAAAAAAAGAAGCUGAUACAUCAUUAUUGGGUUUUUAUUAACUUCCUCAAAAAUUCAGGCUGUAAAAUGUGGUCUGUGAACUUUACAGUGAUGUGUUUAAACAUGUUCAUACAGUCAGUACUAUUGAACCUUCUGUUUAUGGUGAUCACUGCACUAUAACUAGAACCCUGUGUAAUGGUUGUUCCCUUUUUGUUUUACAGGUUUUCACAGCUCAAAUCCAGAAGAUGGACAGUGUUGUUCUUCUUGGCUUCGAGUUAAAACAUUUCAUAGAUUGCGCUCCACCUGUUAGUGAAGUGAUGGCAAUUUCACUUCUUUUUUUCAUUCUGGACCUAGAUGCAUCCAAACUUGAUCCUAUCUUCUGAGAAAACUCUGUAAGUUAUAAACAACUAUGACAGUGCCACUGAGCUUGAAAACAUGAGUGAGUUGUUAUCAUUGGAUCAAAUAAAACAACUUUGCAUGAUUAUAAGAG